rnacentral:misc_RNA from 1 species
AUAUAGCCUGAAUGAUACCCGCUGCCAGGCUUUCUCUCCAAAUGAACCCCCAAAAACCGGGGAAGCUCUGUCAAGGCAGAAUAUUCCCUUUGACAUUAGUGAAACAUCUACUAGUGUGCCAUCCACGNNNNNNNNAGAUUUGGUGCAGAGAUAUCAGGAAUUUAAGGGUGCUUUGAAGGAAGAUUCUGUUGAUUACACCACUUACACUGCAAACAUCAAGAGGAAGCGCCCUACACCUAGAAAGACAAAAAAUGCACGUGUGAAUGGAGAUGACGACGAUGAUGAUGAUGAUGAUGCAGAAUGGACAGGAGGGGUUCGGAGACAAAGUGG